UCUUUUAACAGCAAAAGGUUAUAAUUAUGUAACCGCUGCUCUAAGGGUUUACUGCACGCUGGAAAAUGGGACAGGUGUCUUCCUCGUAAAAUAAUUCUGAACCGACUCAACUUGGCAAAGCAAACUAAACUGAACUCAAAGUCCCCAAUUCACUUAGUUGCAGUGGAGUCUCAAAGGUCCCGAAAUGUCGUCAAAACAACAAUGUCUAUUGAGAGAAGCGUCUCACCAAAUUCUGGCUGGGGGUUCCGCUGGUCUUGUGGAGAUCUGCCUGAUGCACCCCCUGGAUGUGGUGAAAACAAGGUUCCAAAUCCAGAGGGGGACUAGUGACCCAAACAGCUACAAGAGCCUCCGUGACUGCUUCCGAACCAUAUUCCGGAAUGAAGGGAUACUUGGCUUCUACAAGGGGAUCCUCCCUCCGAUCCUGGCAGAGACCCCGAAAAGAGCUGUCAAGUUCUUCACCUUUGAACAAUACAAGAAGAUAUUGAGUUUCACCUCGUUACAUCCUGGCUUGGCCCUUUCAAUCGCCGGAUUAGGAGCAGGCCUGACGGAAGCAGUGGUCGUCAAUCCCUUUGAAGUUGUCAAAGUCAGUCUACAAGCGAAUCGGAAUGCAUUUGCAGAGCAACCCUCAACGUUUGGCCAGGCACGGCACAUAAUCAGCACCAACGGGUUUGGCCUGCAAGGCCUCAACAAGGGGCUGACCUCUACCCUGGGUCGUCAUGGUGUGUUCAACAUGAUCUACUUUGGGUUCUACUUCAACGUCAAGAACAUGUUCCCAGCCUUUCAGGACCCGACUUUGGAAUUCCUGCGGAAGUUUGGAAUUGGACUGGCCUCAGGAACCAUCUCCUCUUGCGUCAACAUUCCUUUUGACGUGGCCAAGAGCCGUAUUCAAGGGCCACAACCUGUCCCUGGAGAAAUCAAGUACCGAACCUGCUUUCAGACCAUGGCAGUUAUCUACAGGGAAGAAGGGUAUUUAGCAUUGUACAAGGGAUUGGUACCCAAGAUUAUGAGACUCGGACCAGGAGGUGCAGUGAUGCUGUUGGUUUAUGAAUACACAUAUGGCUGGCUGCAGAACAACUGGUGAAGGAAAGCCAGUCACCCAGAGGAAGUCUUAAUAAUUUGAAGAUGUUACGAGUGAAUUCUAAGAACCUUGGAGUCACCCUGGACCCCUGCCUCUCUUAUUCCCAGCACAUCUCCACUCUGGCACGCACUUGCAGAUUCUUCCUGAGCAACAUCCGAAGAAUCCGACCCUUCCUCACCAACUAUGCUACCCAGCUCCUUGUCCAGGCCCUGGUACUCUCCCGCCUAGACUACUGCAACUCCCUCCUGGCUGGCCUCCCUGCGUCCGCCACCCGUCCGCUCCAGCUCAUCCAGAACUCUGCUGCUCGCCUGGUGUUCUCUCUACCUCGCUUCGCCCACGCUACUCCACUACUCCGCUCGCUCCACUGGCUCCCGAUCACCGCUCGCAUCCAGUUCAAGACUCUUGUACUAGCCUACAGAUGCCUUGAUCAGACUGCACCCAGCUACCUCCAGACCCUCAUCUCUCCCUACACCCCCACUCGACCUCUCCGCUCCGCCUGCACUAGAAGACUGGCUCUACCUCCGCUACGCUCCCCUGCCUCCCGAGCCCGCUCCUUCUCCACCCUUGCUCCGCAGUGGUGGAACGACCUUCCUACAGAUGUCAGGACUGCCCAGUCCCUGACCACAUUCCGGCGCCUCCUUAAGACUCACCUCUUCAAACAGCACCUGUAGAACUCCUCUGUUGUAUCCUGGGACACUAUCACCCUUCAUUUAAAUAUGCUUUAUUUUGCUCUUAUCUGCCCCCUAUUUUACUGCAUUUAAUCCUGUACCUCAGAAUAUUGUAAUCUGCCAAGUGUUUAAUCUGUAGUAUUUUGUACUUAAUCAUAUCCUGAUGUAACUAUCACUACUUAAUCAUAUCCUGAUGUAACUUUCACUAUUAUCUGCUGUAUUAUUGAAUUGUGGUUUGUCACACUUGAGAAUUAUUGUAUUUCUUGUUCUUAUUGUAUGACUUAUAUUGUAACACUUGAAUGUAUUUGUAUUUGCUUGCGAUUGUAAGUCGCCCUGGAUAAGGGCGUCUGCUAAGAAAUAAAUAAUAAUAAUAAUAAUAAUAAUAGUGGAAUCUCCAUUAUAAAAGUGUACUACAUUCAUUUUGCAGUUUUCCCAUGGUUGUAAUAUGCAUUUAUCAUAGUUUACCAUGGUUUGCCAUGUUUUUAUUAUGCUGUACUGUAGCUCUCUUGGCUUUAUUAUGCUUACCUGUGGUUUACUAUACUUUCACUUUGCUUUUUUACACUUUGAUAUAAAUAGUGACAGGGUGCUAAUAUGAAUAAGUGCUGAAAGGUUCAUUAAUUGAUUGUUCAUUAGAAUUGAAAAAUUAUAGUUCAUAUGAAAUUGAUUAACUCCCUCAAACUGCAAGAGGUGAAUUGUGCUGUGGAAUGUUGCUGGACAAUCAGAUAUUGAAAAGGACCAAUAGAGCUACAAACUAACAACUUAUCAUAAAAUAAUACAUUUUUUUAAUGAAAGCAAUUUUGCGAUGAAAAUAUAUGUUUACAAGAGUGGGACAAAGACAGCAGUCUCAUCAUCGUAUUUAUUUGUUUCCUGUGGGGUUGCUUGUUGGGAGUAGUUGAUUUUCACAUUGGUAAGAAAUGUAUGAAUUUGUCUAGAGGCAGCUUUGAUCAGAAACCAGAGGCCAUUCUAUAAUAAAAAUACAAUUGUUUAAAAAAAAAAAAAAAGUAUGAUUAUUUCUAUUUAUUAUUAUUAUUAUUAUUAUUAUUAUUAUACAGUGUGCUCAUUCUGUAAGCUCGUCUACUCGAGUAGUUCAUUAUGCUGCAAACGUUCAGUUGCACUAGCACUCUCAUGAUUUAUAUUUCACCAGAAACACUUGAUAGAAUUACAGUUUUAUUAUCUACAUUUGGGCGUUCAUUAUUCCUUCUAUUGUUUUUAUAAUUAUCGCCCUCUUGGAAUUCAUAUUCCAAG